rnacentral:rRNA from 1 species
UACAGAGGGUGCAAGCGUUAAUCGGAAUUAUUGGGCGUAAAGGGCGCGUAGGUGGUUAGGUAAGUUCAAUGUGAAAUCCUCUGGGCUCAACCCAGGAACUGCAUUGAAUACUGCUUAUCUAGAGUAGAGUAGAGGGAAGUGGAAUUUCCGGUGUAGCGGUGAAAUGCGUAGAUAUCGGAAAGAACACCAGUGGCGAAGGCGGCUUCCUGGACUCAUACUGACACUGAGGCGCGAAAGCAUAGGGAGCAAACAGG